rnacentral:misc_RNA from 1 species
CAGCCACCAAGAAUCUGUACCUCGCUCUCUGAUCGGCUCCCUCUCCCGCGAAGGGUUUGAUCGAGCAAAGGACCGACUCGCUGCUCAUCUCUCCACUGGUCAUGGCAAGGCCUUUGUCAAAUAUACUGUUGAAGGGCUUCGCAGGUCUCCCUGCAGUACGGUCUUCUAGAACUGUUUUUGGAUCCUUUAAUUGCAAUGGAAUGAGAUAUUCAAGUACUACACCCAGUGAUCCUGACUCACAUGAAGAUUUUCGACCAAAUAAUAAACUUGAGAGUUCUGGAAUAUCUUUGAAAGAUAUUGUUGAACAGGAUGUCAAGGACAACCCAGUGAUGAUUUACAUGAAAGGGGUGCCUGAUCUUCCUCAAUGUGGAUU